rnacentral:rRNA from 1 species
UAGUCCACGCUGUAAACGAUGAUCACUAGAUGUUCGGCCUUCGGGUUGAGUGUCCCAGCGAAAGCGAUAAGUGAUCCACCUGGGGAGUACGUCGGCAACGAUGAAACUCAAAGGAAUUGACGGGGGCCCGCACAAGCGGUGGAGCAUGUGGUUUAAUUCGAUGAUACGCGAGGAACCUUACCUAGGCUACAAUGCCUUUGCCAUACUGUGAAAGCAGUAGUUCCUUCGGGACAAAGUGCAAGAUGCUGCAUGGCUGUCGUCAGCUCGUGUCGUGAGAUGUUGGGUUAAGUCCCGCAACGAGCGCAACCCUCAUCCUUAGUUGCCAUCAGGUUUGGCUGGGGACUCUAAGGAAACUGCCGGUGAUAAGCCGGAGGAAGGUGAGGAUGACGUCAGGUCCUCAUGGCCCUUACGGGCUGGGCUACACGCGUGCUACAAUGGCGGCUACAAUGGGAUGCAAUAGGGUGACCUGGAGCUAAUCCUCAAAGGCCGUCUCAGUUC